CAGCCGCCGCGGUAAUACGGAGGGUGCAAGCGUUAAUCGGAAUUACUGGGCGUAAAGCGCACGCAGGCGGUCUGUCAAGUCGGAUGUGAAAUCCCCGGGCUCAACCUGGGAACUGCAUUUGAAACUGGCAGGCUAGAGUCUUGUAGAGGGGGGUAGAAUUCCAGGUGUAGCGGUGAAAUGCGUAGAGAUCUGGAGGAAUACCGGUGGCGAAGGCGGCCCCCUGGACAAAGACUGACGCUCAGGUGCGAAAGCGUGGGGAGCAAACAGGAUUAGAUACCCCGGUAGUCCCUGUCUCUUAUAC
rnacentral:rRNA from 1 species